UCGAACAGUUUAGUGAUCGUACACGAUCGGAUGUGUAACAACAGGUGAAGAGAAGAAGCGUAGAAGUGUAUCAUGAUGGCGAUGAAGAUCGGCUGGAAAGCCUGUGGAACGAUCCUGCUGGCGUUGGUUGCAAUCGUCGCUGGGCAGUACGGGUCAUGUGACUUCACGUACAACUACACCAGCGUUUGACCAGCUUUAUUCAAUCGCCCAACUUUUCCAACUACUAUGCACCGGGCACAAAAUGCCGGUACACCGUGAACGCACCGGUAGGACAACUAUCUGUACGCGCAAUGCUACGACAUGUAUCUGCCCUCGAGUACCGGGUGCUACUAUGACAAGCUGGCCGUUUCGUUGAGUGGAGAUGCAAAUCUGGCCGAUGCUCAGAUACGGUGCGGAACGACCACCUUCAACGUGCAGAGCAGCUACAACAAUUGGUGGUGGCUUUGCUGGGCAGUACUAGCACGGCCGGUGGACGGUUCCGUUGUCAGAUAACGGCCAUCAAGAUUCCGUGCGAUUGUGGACGUCGUAAGACGGCUACCAUCGUAAAUGGGUUCCCUACGCUGGUGAAUGAUACCCGAUGAUGUCCGCAUUGGGUGGAUGGACCGUCGAAGUCGAUCUUCUGUGGAUCUACCAUUGUUACUGAUCGGCAUGUGUUGACAGCUGCUCACUGUUUGCUGAGCAGAUCGGUCGCCAAUACGUUCGUCUGGUGGGAGAUCACAAUAUUAAAACCGGAGCCGAAACAAGCUAUUCGUCGGCUAUGGUCGCAUCUACUUUCACCACGCAUCCAAGCUAUAAUCCACUGCGAAAACGAACGAUA